UUACCUAGAACGCUAUCUGAAUCACCAGCCACAAUGAACUUGUAAGUUCACCACAAGUCCAGGUAAAUGAGCUCUUCGAAAGCAGACUGCCAUUGCUUCCGUGUUCUUAUCGUUCAGAGAUGAGGAGAUACAGUUCCUGCCUCUGCAUACAGCCAAGAGGUGCAGAUGCAGGUCAACAGUUGCUGUGUGCCACUCAAAAAGAGAUUUAUCAGCAGGUUGCAGGUGAACAUGGCCUUGAGGUAAAUCCUGCCCCUUGUUGAAAUUUAGUUUCAGCAGACUAUUUAUGAUAUUUUAGGAACUGGAAUAUUUUAGAGAAAAAAAAUGUUUGGUUCUGUUCUAGACUUAUUUUUUCUUCUUGUAGAAGAAACAUGUUUAAACAAAAGUUCUUUAUGCUGAGUAAUUGUGAUGCUUUAAGUUGGUCUUUUGCUUUAAGUGGAUUUUAAAUGUCAAUGGUCAAUGCCAAUUCUAGAUGUUUUUUUCUUGGUCAAAUAAAAAUUUCACUCAAACCUUACAGGUGUCGAGUUUUUAUCAUUUUAUCCAUGUUCGUAUUGCAUGUGAAAUAUUCCAUAAAACCUGUUAGAAUCCGGAAUUCAGACUUGCCUUAUCUGUGAUGCCCUACUUCCCACGUGGCAGUUUCUGUCUCAGUAGCUGAACAGUGUUGAAUACACACAUGUGUCUAUUUUGUCUAUAACGUGAAUCCUCUCUGUGCUCACACUGGCUGUACCUUCCUUAUUUCAGGCUAGUGAUCCAGAU